UGGAAGAAUCGCGAGAAUUAGCUGACUCAACCUUGAAACAAAGAGCGGACAAUUAUGACUUGUUUAGCUGUAGGACUGGGGGUCUGGGGAAAUUCGCGGUUCAAAAAGAACCUUAUUGGCUUCGGCAAAUAUUGUUCUCCUGGAGGAAAGGGUUAAUUGUUUGAAGCAACCGUCAUACUUUUUGCUCGUUCACUUUGACCCAAUCUGUGGAAGAGGCAGGAGUGCGAUUUUGAAAUCGCGUCGCGGUGUGUUUUUGAAUUGUUGCUUUUUUGUAUAGGGAAAAUUAACGAAGAAAUUCAAAUUUACCAAGGUUUCGUUAAGUGUCUGUGCUUUGAAAUAAAGCUCCAAAAGCCGUUCGACGGCGGUUUAUUUAGGGUUGAUUUCCUGAGAACCAACACAUCCUUCGAGGCUCGGCACACCGCAGAGGACAACGUGACGCACUGCUGACCCCACGAUCUGGAGUCAAAGUUCCCGACAAAGCCAUUUCCGUCGGAAGGGAGUGCUACGCUAUAACAGCACUCCGGGCAGAGCCAGUUUGAAUUCAAACCGUGAGUACCCUAACCCGUUAUAACAUGCGCAUGUGGGUGGGUAUUUCUUAU